rnacentral:rRNA from 1 species
UACGUAGGGUGCUAGCGUUGUCCGGAUUUAUUGGGCGUAAAGGGCUCGUAGGCGGUUUGUCGCGUCUGCUGUGAAAACUCAGGGCUUAACCCUGAGCCUGCAGUGGGUACGGGCAGACUAGAGUGUGGUAGGGGAGAUCGGAAUUCCUGGUGUAGCGGUGGAAUGCGCAGAUAUCAGGAGGAACACCGGUGGCGAAGGCGGAUCUCUGGGCCAUAACUGACGCUGAGGAGCGAAAGCAUGGGGAGCGAACAGG